UACGUAGGUGGCAAGCGUUAUCCGGAUUUACUGGGUGUAAAGGGAGCGUAGACGGCUUUGCAAGCCAGAUGUGAAAGCCCGGGGCUCAACCCCGGGACUGCAUUUGGAACUGUAUGGCUGGAGUGUCGGAGAGGCAGGCGGAAUUCCUAGUGUAGCGGUGAAAUGCGUAGAUAUUAGGAGGAACACCAGUGGCGAAGGCGGCCUGCUGGACGAUGGCUGACGUUGAGGCUCGAAAGCGUGGGGAGCAAACAGG
rnacentral:rRNA from 1 species